rnacentral:lncRNA from 1 species
AUUACUUAUAUCUCUCCUAUUCCUUCUUUGGACUACAUAAUACAAUUUGAUAAGAGUAAAAUGUAGGUAUUAGAAGCAUGAAUUCUCAAGCCCAUUUUCUUGAGUUCAGAUUCCAGCUUCAGAACCUCUAUGUAAUCUUACUGUUUUGUUACCCCUCUGUGGAUUUAGUUUACCCCUCUAGAAAUAUGAGACUAGGGUAACAGUGCUUCCUCACAGAGUUGUGAGUUUAGAGAAACACUUGGAACAUCCCCCCUAUACAAUCAUUGUUAUUACAUGGCUUUACUGAACUUAUGAUUUUAUAUAAUAAGAAAAAUAGUAUUAAUUUAAAAAUUUGAAUUCUACCCCUCCUAGUCACUAUUACAACAUACCACAUUACUGAUUGUCAAUGACUACCUUGAGUUGUUUUCUAGAGGAUUAUCAGAAGCCAAGGAUAAGAGCUAGAAAAACUUAAAUAGAGGUGAAAACCUUACAAAAUUUUGACUUUACAGAUCUUUGAUUUUUUAUGUACUUAAGGUGUUACGACAUUUACAAUAGAAGCAGGUAUUCAAAUGUUUGUUCAUAUUAAAAUGCCUGUAAGCAUCACUAGUGAAAUACCAGCAUGUGAUUUUGCCUGAAAGGAAGGUGAGAUUCUAUUCUCCUGUUUGAAAUUAACUUCGUUUUUUUUCCACUGAUAUAUGUGAAGCAACAUUAUAAAAUUGAAAAAUAUGAAUUAUUAUUAUUAUUUUUUACCAAUUCCUCUACUAAACAGCUUGUGAAAGUUAUCUCUGG